ACUCUCAAAUGAAAAGUGUUCAAGUGCAUUCAAAGUGAAGCUGAAAAAAUAACCAGUUAAAAAUAGUACAAAGAAAUUUUCUUUCUUGCAAUUUGCAAGCAGUAGCUACAACCAAAAAUGGAAAAGUGUAAAAAUCGUGUCCCAGCAGACGAGCAGCAGCAGUACGAGUAUUGCAAAAUGCAGGGGCAAGGGCCCACGUAGUAUUUUUCCACGUCGGGCAUUUAAUGCUCUCGAGUUGGAAACAAAGAAACCAUACGCAAACCCCCUGGAAAAGAUGUGAUUAGUCAUCGAUUUUGCUGGUCAGCGUCGGGGAAUUUCGCAAUGCAGCAGGCAGUUUUCUCAAAUUUGGCUAGAAAGUGACCCACUAGGCAGUCUGAGGCAGUUAUCCAGGAUGUAAGGAUGUGUGCAGUACUCUCUGUGUCGAAUGGCGAUGGCCUGACCUGCGGAUUUUGAAAGAUUGAAAUAGGAAGCCAGGUAUACAUACACAGCAACGAAUGCAGCGUGUUCUAUAUUCUUAAUUCGUAAGCCAAACCUAUGUUUAAGACGUAGUUUAUAUAACCGUACAUAUGUAUGUAGCGAAACACGUUUUCAAACGUCGCAUCGAAGCCAUUUCUUCUGCAGCCAUUGCAAUUUCAUCGUGUUGCGUAAUCGCAAAUUGUAAAUGUGUCCCUACUACUUCACAUUUGUGUGUAUCCAAGUCGAAAGUUCUCGAACUAUUCUCGUGAGCAACCCCCGGAUCGAAAGGCCACCAACUGGCUCGUUCUCUCUCUCCAGAAACAGCUUACUCUUACGUUUACAAUUGACUCUCUACCUAUCGGGUAUACACAUUUUUAUAUAUGUAUACACUCAGAGACACCCCAAUCCCCCACCAUACAUAUGGCGAGAUGUGUGAAUGUAUCGCAGUUGGACGAAAACGGCAGCUGCGCAGAAAACGCUGCGGCGUACAUACAAACGAGCUCUUUGUUUGCCUUUCCCCAGUUUUGCUUCCCCAUACGUAUAACUGGGUGUUUAUCAGCGGUAAUCUCGCCAGCCUGACUUUGUCCCUGUCGCUUCUAUUGACAUUCUAAACUAGAUUGUAGACGUUUUAACAUUUACCUAGCUGUUAAUCUUAUUUGUAAACAUCUCUAUAUGCAACCUGCCAUACCACUUAACCAAGCAAUAUGUAUUUCUUUCUCUAAACUUUAUAGUUGGGCGUUGAAAGUUGAUAUCGAUAUCGAUCCGUGAAAAGUCGAUACCCUGCGCAAGCAUGGGGCGGCAUAUGGGUGCUGAAAACGCACUCGGCCCGAUCCCGAUUGCAGCGUUAUUCGAAAGCUGUGUCUGCGACCGUGACUGAGAUCAUAUGCGUACAUAUAUCUAAUGUCCGGGGUCGUGGGCCAGCCAGGGUGCUCGAUUCUGUCAGAUUGAUUGUGCGGAUUGUGUUAUAGGAACACUGGUGUAUCGACUUCUCUGCUCCACUAUGGGUGAAGGAUACCCUACCGAAAAGGCCUUCUGUCGCUUACUAUCAUCGAACAAGUUCCGUAAAGGGCAGACAUACGUACACGUGGCAGCAUAUUACGUUCAAUGACACAUCGUCUCUGGAUUAGUAGUUGAACCAACGAGCUCGAAUAUACCCUGCCAGUUGGUUGUAAAUAUUAAUUUUGUUCUUAUAUUCAGUUGUAAAGUCAAUACGGAAGACAUUUCCACACCAACCAUGUGUCACUUAUGUUCUUAAAUACCAGAAACUGUUUAAAUUUUUGUUCUUAUACACUUCACCAAUUAAGAAUUACCUGUACUGAUGUAAGUGUACCUGUUGAAUCACAACAAAAAUAGAAAAAAUGAAUAACAAAAGAGCUCUAUAACAGAAAAGCCACAGAAAAAGUGAAUAAAAAAUUCAAAAAUUCAAAAAAU
rnacentral:misc_RNA from 1 species